GACGAACGCUGGCGGCGUGCCUAAUACAUGCAAGUCGAGCGGACUUAUGCCUUCGGGGAUAAGUUAGCGGCGGACGGGUGAGUAACACGUAGGCAACCUGCCUGUAAGAUCGGGAUAACUAUCGGAAACGAUAGCUAAGACCGAAUAAUUGGUUCCGGCGCAUGUUGGAAUCAUGAAACACGGAGCAAUCUGUGGCUUAUAGAUGGGCCUGCGGCGCAUUAGCUAGUAGGUGAGGUAAUGGCUCACCUAGGCGACGAUGCGUAGCCGACCUGAGAGGGUGAACGGCCACACUGGGACUGAGACACGGCCCAGACUCCUACGGGAGGCAG
rnacentral:rRNA from 1 species